CUGGAGUCUGAGAGAGCUGGGGUCAGGGGCCGACUUCACAGUGUCCAUGCAGUGUGCCUGGAGAGCGGAGAGCAGGAGCAGGAGGGGCCAGCAGGAGCUUGCUUACACCCCUGCUGGCACUCUGGGCACUGUCAGGGACAGCCUAUUCCAUCUUGAGACACAAGGCCUGUGGGAAAGUCCCUGACACUCCUCACCGAGGUUACUGACUCUGUACCCAGCUCCUGUGAAAAGUCUGCAGCAUCUGCUAGGACUGGGCACAACUGCCCAUGCCAGGCACUGUGCCGGACACUGGAGAUACAGGGGUGAAUUCCAAGAGGGAAGAGCUCUGUGAAAGGGGGUGCAUGCUUU